CAGUCGCCACGGGAAUACAGAGGGUGCAAGCGUUAAUCGGAAUUACUGGGCGUAAAGCGCGCGUAGGUGGUUUGUUAAGUUGGAUGUGAAAGCCCCGGGCUCAACCUGGGAACUGCAUCCAAAACUGGUAAGCUAGAGUACGGUAGAGGGUGGUGGAAUUUCCUGUGUAGCGGUGAAAUGCGUAGAUAUAGGAAGGAACACCAGUGGCGAAGGCGACCACCUUGACUGAUACUGACACUGAGGUGCGAAAGCGUGGGGAGCAAACAGGAUUAGAGACCCCGGUAGUCCCUGUCUCUUAUAC
rnacentral:rRNA from 1 species